rnacentral:tRNA from 1 species
GAGGGCGCCAUAAGACCUGCUAACUCUUUAAUCUGGAACUAACAUACCAGCCCCCUCU